CGCAGCAGACUUUCAGAUCAGUUCAUUACAUUUUUCAGUCGAAAGUGCAUUACAGGAGCCCAGAGAUGAUCAAAAAUUGAGAGCAGAAGAAAUUUGAGGCUGACCAGGAUCCUGAAGUGAGGAGCAGUCCCUUUCCCAUUUAACAGCAUUCAUGAGCAGAAAAUGGGGAAGCAGAAAUGCUGAGACAGUUCAGAAGAAACAUCACCCAAA